GUCGAGCGAAUCUGAGGGAGCUUGCUCCCAAAGAUUAGCGGCGGACGGGUGAGUAACACGUGGGCAACCUGCCUGUAAGACUGGGAUAACUUCGGGAAACCGGAGCUAAUACCGGAUAAUCCUUUUCUACUCAUGUGGAAAAGCUGAAAGAUGGCUUCGGCUAUCACUUACAGAUGGGCCCGCGGCGCAUUAGCUAGUUGGUGAGGUAACGGCUCACCAAGGCGACGAUGCGUAGCCGACCUGAGAGGGUGAUCGGCCACACUGGGACUGAGACACGGCCCAGACUCCUACGGGAGGCAGCAGUAGGGAAUCUUCCGCAAUGGACGAAAGUCUGACGGAGCAACGCCGCGUGAGUGAUGAAGGUUUUCGGAUCGUAAAACUCUGUUGUUAGGGAAGAACAAGUACCGUUCGAAUAGGGCGGUACCUUGACGGUACCUAACCAGAAAGCCACGGCUAACUACGUGCCAGCAGCCGCGGUAAUACGUAGGUGGCAAGCGUUGUCCGGAAUUAUUGGGCGUAAAGCGCGCGCAGGUGGUUUCUUAAGUCUGAUGUGAAAGCCCCCGGCUCAACCGGGGAGGGUCAUUGGAAACUGGGAGACUUGAGUGCAGAAGAGGAAAGUGGAAUUCCAAGUGUAGCGGUGAAAUGCGUAGAGAUUUGGAGGAACACCAGUGGCGAAGGCGACUUUCUGGUCUGUAACUGACACUGAGGCGCGAAAGCGUGGGGAGCGAACAGGAUUAGAUACCCUGGUAGUCCACGCCGUAAACGAUGAGUGCUAAGUGUUAGAGGGUUUCCGCCCUUUAGUGCUGCAGCAAACGCAUUAAGCACUCCGCCUGGGGAGUACGGCCGCAAGGCUGAAACUCAAAGGAAUUGACGGGGGCCCGCACAAGCGGUGGAGCAUGUGGUUUAAUUCGAAGCAACGCGAAGAACCUUACCAGGUCUUGACAUCCUCUGACAAUCCUAGAGAUAGGACGUUCCCCUUCGGGGGACAGAGUGACAGGUGGUGCAUGGUUGUCGUCAGCUCGUGUCGUGAGAUGUUGGGUUAAGUCCCGCAACGAGCGCAACCCUUGAUCUUAGUUGCCAGCAUUCAGUUGGGCACUCUAAGGUGACUGCCGGUGACAAACCGGAGGAAGGUGGGGAUGACGUCAAAUCAUCAUGCCCCUUAUGACCUGGGCUACACACGUGCUACAAUGGAUGGUACAAAGGGCUGCAAGACCGCGAGGUUUAGCCAAUCCCAUAAAACCAUUCUCAGUUCGGAUUGCAGGCUGCAACUCGCCUGCAUGAAGCCGGAAUCGCUAGUAAUCGCGGAUCAGCAUGCCGCGGUGAAUACGUUCCCGGGCCUUGUACACACCGCCCGUCACACCACGAGAGUUUGUAACACCCGAAGUCGGUGGGGUAACCGCAAGGAGCCAGCCG
rnacentral:rRNA from 1 species